rnacentral:misc_RNA from 1 species
AAGAGAGAAUAUGAAGAAUUCAAAGUUCGAAUUAACGGGCUUGUUGCUAAGGCAACAAAAGUUCCUGAGGAAGGAUGGAUUAUGCAAGAUGGUACCCCAUGGCCGGGAAAUAACACCAGAGACCAUCCAGGAAUGAUUCAGGUUUUCCUGGGCCAAAAUGGGGGCCUUGAUGCUGAGGGUAAUGAGCUGCCACGGCUAGUUUAUGUUUCACGUGAAAAGCGUCCAGGGUUCCAACACCACAAGAAGGCUGGUGCAAUGAAUGCACUUGUCAGAGUAUCAGCUGUCCUUACUAAUGGACCUUUCCUGUUGAAUCUUGAUUGUGAUCACUAUGUAAACAACAGCAAGGCUUUGAGAGAAGCUAUGUGUUUCCUGAUGGAUCCCAACCUUGGGAAACAGGUCUGUUAUGUUCAGUUCCCCCAGAGAUUUGAUGGUAUUGAUAGGAACGAUCGAUAUGCCAACCGUAAUACUGUUUU